CCUUAAUACUUAGUUACCAAUCACUCUAUUAUUUUCAUUAUUUAUUGAACAUUUUAGGUUAUUUUCAAAUUUUCAUAAGCUUUAAACAAACAACUAAUUAAACUUGGUCAUUUACAAAUUUUCUUCAUUGUUUCGUUGUCCAAGAUCAGGAUAUUCAGGCAAAGAGUUUUGUGAUGUCCUUUAUUUUGUCCAUGUUGAUGGUCUUUACUCUUACGAGCCUUAUUCCUACAAUUUCAGGGAUAGGCAAAAAUGGGAUAUGUACAGACUGUGGACCAUGUGUGGGCGAAACAUCGGGAAAGACAUGCUAUGAAAAAUGCAUCUCUCUGAAUUUCAAACUUGGGGGAGUUUGCUUACCUCGGCAGAAUGCUGUAAAUGUAAAUGCAAAUUCAAAUGAAAAUCGUUAUUGUUGCUGCUUAAAAUUGAAUUCUUAAUCUAAUAUGUAUCCUAUACAUUGAAUCAAAAAAUAUUACUUCAAUUAUAUAAAUAAAUUAAUGUA